rnacentral:misc_RNA from 1 species
AAAAAGACAUCAUAAAGGACAUUUUGGAAUACAUUUUUUUUUUUAUAAAUUUUAAAGCAUUGGAAAAAGACUUUUGGAUUAUAAUGAAAAUUUAAAGACCUUUGCUGAAGUUGGAUAAUUGGAUAUAGAAUUAGGAUUCUUCUAAGCCUUUGAUAGGCAUUGUGACAUUAUUAUGGGCAUGAGGUGUUAUAAUUCGUCGACUCUCGCAUAAAGACUAAAAAAAAACAUGUUGGAUUCAAAGAGUCAGUAUAUGGAAUCAGCUUCCAAUAUGUAUCCAGUGUAUUCUUCUCAUUGAUGCUUCCCUUCCCCUGUUAAAGACAGUUUUUCUUGGAUGAUGAUGCAAUGUCACUCCUUCGUGUUUGGGGGGUUCCAAGUAGUGGUGAG